rnacentral:lncRNA from 1 species
AAACCUGGGGCUAGUGAGCCCCUCUGAAGUGAAGAUGCAUACAGAAUAAUAUUUUAGAGAUUCCUGCAACUUGAGAAAAAUGGACAUGCAUACUGGAUCCUCACAGAAAUAGGAUAUAGGGUAGGAUUUGCAAAUAACGUGUGAGGAGAAGAACCUACAGUGGGCACAUGCACAUUGCUGCAGCUCCUGUUAUGCUGAGGAAGAAGCAACCAGGCAGAAAAUGGGGAAAACAAACAAACAAACAAACGUGAUUCAAUUUUGAACAUCAAAUUCCAUUGAUCAUCCCUAAUGACAACACUUGGACNAUCUGGAAGCUAUGAAUCCUCC